rnacentral:rRNA from 1 species
AUGCACGCUGGCGGCGUGCCUAAUCCAUGCCCGUCGAGCGAACAGACGAGGAGCUUGCUCCUCUGACGUUAGCGGCGGACGGGUGAGUAACACGUGGAUAACCUACCUAUAAGACUGGGAUAACUUCGGGAAACCGGAGCUAAUACCGGAUAAUAUAUUGAACCGCAUGGUUCAAUAGUGAAAGACGGUUUUGCUGUCACUUAUAGAUGGAUCCGCGCCGCAUUAGCUAGUUGGUAAGGUAACGGCUUACCAAGGCAACGAUGCGUAGCCGACCUGAGAGGGUGAUCGGCCACACUGGAACUGAGACACGGUCCAGACUCCUACGGGAGGCAGCAGUAGGGAAUCUUCCGCAAUGGGCGAAAGCCUGACGGAGCAACGCCGCGUGAGUGAUGAAGGUCUUCGGAUCGUAAAACUCUGUUAUUAGGGAAGAACAAAUGUGUAAGUAACUAUGCACGUCUUGACGGUACCUAAUCAGAAAGCCACGGCUAACUACGUG